UUCCAGACUCCUACGGGAGGCAGCAGUGGGGGAUAUUGCACAAUGGGGGGAACCCUGAUGCAGCGACGCCGCGUGGGUGAAGAAGCGCCUCGGCGCGUAAAGCCCUGUCAGCAGGGAAGAAAAUGACGGUACCUGAAGAAGAAGCCCCGGCUAACUACGUGCCAGCAGCCGCGGUAAUACGUAGGGGGCAAGCGUUAUCCGGAUUUACUGGGUGUAAAGGGGGCGCAGACGGCGAUGCAAGCCAGGGGUGAAAGGCCGGGGCCCAACCCCGGGACUGCUCUUGGAACUGCGUGGCUGGAGUGCAGGAGGGGCAGGCGGAAUUCCUGGUGUAGCGGUGAAAUGCGUAGAUAUCAGGAGGAACACCGGUGGCGAAGGCGGCCUGCUGGACUGCAACUGACGUUGAGGCCCGAAAGCGUGGGGAGCAAACAGGAUUAGAUACCCCAGUA
rnacentral:rRNA from 1 species